UACAAAUAACAAAACCAUAAAAAUUUGAGAGGUAGAUUUCAAAAUAUUACUUGGUAGUCAUUUUGAGUGAAAGUUGAAAAAUAUUAGACUUAGAGACAGACUAAAUGUUGCUUUGUCAAUGAGAUGUUUUCUUAUAUUGAGAACAGAUGCAAAAUAGGAAGAGGACCAAAAGAUGGAGGAAAAGGAGGGGAAGAGGAGAGGAAGUGAGAAGAAUGAAGAUGUGCAACUCCCCAUGAUGGAUAUAAUCACGAUGUACUGCCAAAAUGAACUGAUGAAAAUCAAAACUAAAAGGAAGACUACCCCUUCACAACGCAGCAUCUCUUCUCUGUCUGCACAUGUGUCUGUGUGUGAUGGCUGGUGGUGUCUGGAUUUGCUCGGUGGAGCCCUGAGGCCUAUAGAAGGUAUGAAAAGAGGAAAGUGCCACCGUGGUAUUGUGCUGUCUGUCAAAAAUGCUCUUGGCCUGAGUCCUGAGCUAUUUCUCUAGCUUGUGGUUUGCUCUCUAGGUCC
rnacentral:lncRNA from 1 species